rnacentral:rRNA from 1 species
GAUGAACGCUGGCGGCGUGCCUAAUACAUGCAAGUCGAGCGAACAGAUGAGGAGCUUGCUCCUCUGACGUUAGCGGCGGACGGGUGAGUAACACGUGGAUAACCUACCUAUAAGACUGGGAUAACUUCGGGAAACCGGAGCUAAUACCGGAUAAUAUAUUGAACCGCAUGGUUCAAUAGUGAAAGACGGUUUUGCUGUCACUUAUAGAUGGAUCCGCGCCGCAUUAGCUAGUUGGUAAGGUAACGGCUUACCAAGGCAACGAUGCGUAGCCGACCUGAGAGGGUGAUCGGCCACACUGGAACUGAGACACGGUCCAGACUCCUACGGGAGGCAGCAGUAGGGAAUCUUCCGCAAUGGGCGAAAGCCUGACGGAGCAACGCCGCGUGAGUGAUGAAGGUCUUCGGAUCGUAAAACUCUGUUACUAGGGAAGAACAAAUGUGUAAGUAACUAUGCACGUCUUGACGGUACCUAAUCAGAAAGCCACGGCUAACUACGU